AGCAUGAGUCAUCUCGUUCCAAUGAGAAUGAAGGCUGAGGUGUGCGCCUUUUUUUUUUUUCCUUCUUAGUCGUGUGUACAUCAUUGGGAAUGGAGGGAAAUAAAUGACUGGAUGGUCGCUGCUUUUUAAGUUUCAAAUUGACAUUCCAGACAAGCGGUGCCUGAGCCCGUGCCUGUCUUCAGAUCUUCACAGCACAGUUCCUGGGAAGGUGGAGCCACCAGCCUCUCCCUGACAAGCAAAGUGGAUCAGCAAAGGCUGCAGUCACCAGCAUCUUUUCCAACCUUAAUGAACUGUAUCCUCAAAAGAACACUAUCAGACUGGUAAGACAAGCAUUAUUGUCCCACUUCACAGAUGAAGAGCUUGGGGGCCCUGUGGAUGUGUAGGAGAGUCGGCCUUCCUUUUUAUAGGCCUUUUGCUGAGCUCAGAGGACAGAGCAGAAGACAAAGCCGAAUGCAGCCCUAAGCAGACACUAUCCCAGCCCAAGGAGCUAUGCAGACAGCUCCUGCCUAGAGGAGAAACAAUUCUCUCCUUCAGCCAGGCAUGUGGCACAGAGGUGAACAGGAAAUGCUUAGGGAGACAGUUCACAGAUAUAUAUGUACUUCACAGGGCACAAUUUAAUCCAUAAAUCAAUCAUGGAUCACCGCUAAAGAAAACAAAAUAUGCUGCCACUAAUUUGCCACCACCCUGUGAGCAUGAUUGGAUGAUGUUUAUUUUGAUUAGGAGAUUGCUCCAUUUAUAAAUCUUCAAUACAUCCUGUCCCCCUAAAACGGCAUCUGGGUCUUUUGAGGGUUAAAAAAAAAAAAAA
rnacentral:lncRNA from 1 species